GCCUUGAUAGCUCAGUUGGUUAGAGAGUGGUGCUGAUAACGCCAAGGUUGCAGACUUAAUCCCUGUAUGGGACA
rnacentral:tRNA from 1 species